ensembl:lncRNA
CCUUGAUGGUAUAGUCGGUGUACUGUCUUGUACAUCUGUGGAAAUAGAUAAGCACUUCCAGGUUAGCAGUAGCCAGCAAAUUCUCAGUAAGACAGAACAGAAUGACGCCUGUUUUAACAGAACCAACAUUUUAGCUUGUUGAUGAAAUUGCUUCUAGCUCUGCUAGAGUGGUGUCUAUGUAAAUAAGCAGACUGAGACCUACUUCUGAUGAAUGUAGGAAAGGAAAUGCUUUCUUCUCAAUGCUAAAGUGAGCUGGAGACUUUCAUCUUUAGGGAUCAGCAUGACACUGAAGACAUUGAAGAAUAUGUUCAGGCUAUGGAUGUUCAGCAUUUGAUACAGUUACAAGUAUUUGGUUGAGAGGAGUCUGCACCUUCAGGUGGUCCCAGCUGUAGACUUUAUGCCACAGCCAGCCAUCACACUGUUUGAGUGAUAUCUUAUCACCAGAGGCAACAUCAGCGUGGAAAGAAAGGUGUUCUGCCUGCAUGACACUCAUCUGGAGUGGCAUUACUCAAUACCUUGCAAAAGGUGUGGGAUGCCAGAGAGUUUGAAAAGAUGUUCUCACAGCACCUCACGAAUUCAAAUGAUCCAGCUCUAUCAUCUCACUCACCACUGAGGUUUUAACGGUGGCAUUAAAAAUGAGUGGAACUGCAGGUGGCAAAAUGCUUGGCAUCUCCCAGACUGCAGCACUGUUGUGCCUACCUCAAGGAUCUGAAUUUCAGUCUGACAACACUACAACAAUUCAGAACCGUCAUCUCAGUAUAUUCACAGCAGCAAUGCCAGCCAUGUGCCCAGGUCCCCUGGAUUGCUCUAUGAUCUUCUCUCAGAAGAUGACAUAACUUUAUUAACUACAUUUAGUAACCAACUCACAAAACAAGAUGACUCAGUUGCAAAGCCAACUGAUGCAUGAUAUCAAGGAAACCUGAGAACUUUUGCUUCUGAGUAGAUUUGGCAACUUUCAAUUUUGUUUAUUGAGUUUGUAAUUUUAAUUUUGUUAAUCAAACAAAAACAAAUGUGAGAACUAAGAAUAGAUCUGUAUCUUUAAAUGCAUUCUGUUCUGAUAAAAAUUGUUUUGAUAAAAACGGCCAUCUGCUCAAAUCUCAUUUCUCCUUUUUUUUUUUUUUUCUGCAAGAGUUUUAAACAUAUCUGAAGAGAAG